GACGAACGCUGGCGGCGUGCUUAACACAUGCAAGUCGAACGGAAAGGCCCUGCUGUUGUGGGGUGCUCGAGUGGCGAACGGGUGAGUAACACGUGAGUAACCUGCCCUUGACUUUGGGAUAACUUCAGGAAACUGGGGCUAAUACCUGAUAGGAGCUCCUACUGCAUGGUGGGGGUUGGAAAGUUACGGCGGUUGGGGAUGGACUCGCGGCUUAUCAGCUUGUUGGUGGGGUAGUGGCUUACUAAGGCAUUGCCUGGUAGCCGGCCUGAGGAGGGGACCGGCCACAUUGGGACUGAGAUACGGCCCAGACUCCUACAGAAGGCAGCAGUGGGGAAUAUUGCACAAUAGGCGGAAGCCUGAUACAGCAACGCCGCGUGCGGGAUGACGGCCUUCGGGUUGUAAACCGCUUUCGCCUGUGACGAAGCGUGAGUGACGGUAAUGGGUAAAGAAGCACCGGCUAACUACGUG
rnacentral:rRNA from 1 species